GACUACUCCGGUGCCCUAGUGGUUAGAAUGUCUACCUUAGAUGUGGGAGGUUACAGGUUCAAACCCUGGCUGAAUCA